rnacentral:lncRNA from 1 species
UUGUAUUGAUUUGAAUUUGUAGGUUACAAUCUCUGUUUACAAUUUUCCUCGGAUUUAGUCUUCAAAUUUGGUAUAGAUGUGUAAGUUAUUGAUCCAAAGGUCGCGAUGACUUGAUCUCGGACGAACGGUUGAACGAUUGCUCUAAGUUUUGAGCUUGAAACAAUAUGUGGAUGGUCUUUACCUCAAGGUGCAGCAAAGAUGAUGUUGAUGUGAGAUUUCGUUGAUUCAAGGGUCUUGGUGACUUGAUCUUGAAACGAACGUCGUUACAAGUUUUGAGCUUGCAAUAAAGUCUUGAAGGAAUUGGCACAGGUGCUUGUUGAUUCUUCAAAGAGAGCUUUGGCUUUGGUUAUGCAUUCUUCGAAGAGAGCUUUGGCAGCAUAUUAGUCCUCAAAGAUUUGUGCAGAGGUUCAUCUCAUUGUAUAAUUUUUGACCCCUUUAUGUGUCUUGGGUCCUUGUAUUUAUAGACGUCUCAAAGCUUGCCUUUGGAUAGAUUUGGCUUUGAUUUGUGUCUUGAUUCAUCCAUGGGAGAAUUUAGGCAUGUUUUAUAUCUUAAUUUCAGCCACCUUCCUCAUAUUGGCCGAAAUUUAUAGGUCUUGUUGCCUAUUUGUGAGUAAUCUUCAACUCUUGCUUAUUUUCAAAAGAUGCUUUGGCUUUGUUUUCGGUUUUUUGAGACAUUUUGGGCCCCUUGCUGAUUUUAAGGGGGAUUUUCUCCCUUUUUCUGAAUUUUGGGAAUGUUUUACACUUCAUUUGCUUGAUUUGUGCCACAUGUCAUUGAUUACUUGUCCAUUUGCAAUGAGUCAUAUGCCAUAUGGAGCUUUGUGAUGCCUCAUUUGUAUGCAACAAAAUUUAUAUGUCUACAAAUGCCCUCACUUGAAGGCAUGUUGUAGGCAUGUGCUUGUCACAUGUAGAAACAUGUUUUGAUGUCUUGCAAUGUGAAUGCUGUAACUCAAGGGUCAUUGAGACUUGAUCUUAAAUUAGCUUGCUUCUUUAAGGGUCGUAGAGGCCUGAUCUUGAACGAAACAUUUCUUCAAGGGCCAUUGAGGCUUGAUCUUGAAUGAAAUGAAAUUUUUCUUCAAGGGCCAUAGAGGCUUGAUCUUGAGUGAAAAAUGAAAUUUUCUUCAAGGGCCGUAGAGGCUUGAUCUUGAAAGAAAUGAAAUUUUUUCUUCAAGGGCCGUCAAGGCUUAAUCUUGAAUG